rnacentral:rRNA from 1 species
CUAUUUAUAAAGAACAACCAUAAUCGGCCAAUAAAAACUAUAGUUUUAAAACCAAAGACUUUGGCGGUGCUUUAUAAACUCAGGGGAGCCUGUUUAUUAAUAUGAUAAUCCACAAAUAUCUAACCAUGAAUUGAAAAUCAGUUUGUAUACUGCCGUGCAAGGUUUAGCUAAGAUACCUUAAACAAAAACUCCACUAUACCAACCAUAUAACAGGUCAAAGUGCAACUAAAAUCAUGGGCACAAAUGAGCUACAUUUAUUUAAAUAAAUUAUACCUAAAUAAAAAUAAUAGAACUUGACAGUAAUAAAUCUUUACUAUAGAUUUAUAAAUCACCUAUAAUGCAUGCACAUAUCGCCCGUCACUCUUACUGAAAAAUAAGAUAAGUCGUAACAA